rnacentral:sRNA from 1 species
UAGUAAGCUCGCCCCCACUUUACGGAGAAACCCAUGUUGUCCAAGACCCCUUCCCUGCACCGCCACACUGCCAGCGCACUGCGCUCGGUCGCGGCUGCCUGGGUCAACGGCACUCGGGCUCCGGCCAGCUUUUAUUUUGGGUAUUGGUUUAGCCACUGGCGCGCCUGAUACCCAACCGGCGCCCACUUCAACGGGUCGCCUACCAGAGAAAUCUCAACCCCCGGUCGGCCUCCCGACCGGGGG